AGCGAGGAUCCGGCGGAGCGUCUCGACCUGGACGCGGCCGGCGUUGGCCGUGGCGGCCUCGAAUUCGGCUAUCACGUAGUCAAGACUGAACUCUCUCAUAAUUGAUUGUUGGAGGAUGUAAUAAUUGGAUAGUGAGGGCAGUUUAUAAAGGGAGUUGACGCUUGACUGCGGGUGGACGGUGAUGAAAAUAGUGGAUGGAUUUUAGGGAAUCAUAUGAAAAUGAAUGGAUAGGUUUUCUCGAAUCAUAUGGAGGCGGUGGGGAUUGGGAGGUAGCGA
rnacentral:misc_RNA from 1 species